UUCCCAGAACUCCCAAGCAGCUGAACACUGCAUAUAUAAACUUAAAAAGGGUCACUAGCCAAAAAGUAGCAGAGGAAAAUGUAAGUGUAUAAAACUUUCGGUUGAUUUAGAGCUAUAUGGAUUAAUUACAUUGCAGAUUCAAAAAUAUAAUGAGCAGAAGGUUUUGGACCAGUUGAAGAGAGACCAAACUGCGGACAAAAAAGACAUACUUGCAACAGGUGGUGGCACAUUUAGGCCUCGUCUCACAGAUGUAGGGGCACAAAUGUUGAGUUUGAUUGGCAAUCAAAUCCAACCUUUACCCAACAGUUGUGACAGUGCAUCUGGUUUCUUCACAUCUGUUGCACAAGACAGUCAAGUGGAAGUAGAUUACCUACAAUUGGAAGACACAUAGCAGACGUCCAAUGUACCCUCUACUUCCACUGUGCUGCUCAGUACACCCACGACAACUGCUGUCCUGCCCAAGAAGAAAGCCAAGAUGUCUCAGGCUCGUUCAAAAAAUAAAAAAGUAAAAGAUAUAGGGAGCGAAACCCUUAAUGUAUCUUUUACAAAAAAAAUUGAAACAGCAAGACUAGAAAAAAGAAGUAAGAUAGUAUUUUUCAACAAGAAAAAAAGAAAUUUUAGAAGUAGAGCUUCAAAUAAAAAAAUUCGAUCUCAAUAAAUUAUUCGGUAAUAGUGGUUAGGUAUGUACCUAAUAAAGUAAUUUUAAAUAAAAAUUGUAAUUUCUUUAAAUAAUAAAAUUAAUAAAAAAUGU
rnacentral:lncRNA from 1 species